UUAUUUUUGAGGCGUAAUGGAAU
rnacentral:piRNA from 1 species